AAGCAUCAUAGUCUGAGACCCCGAAACUAGACGAGCUACUCCGAAGCAGUCUAAAAGGACUAACCCGUCUCUGUGGCAAAAGAGUGGGAAGACUUCCGAGUAGAGGUGAAAAGCCUACCGAGCCUAGUUAUAGCUGGUUGCUUAAGAAAAGAAUAUGAGUUCAGCCUUAUAAGUUUCUCAAAAAUCAAAAUGAAAGAAUAAAGUAACACAUAAGAGUUAGUCGAAGGGGGUACAGCUCCUUCGAAAAAGAACACAACCUUACCCAGGUAAAUAAGGAUUAUACUAAAAAAGGACAUGACUUUCAACAGUGGGCCCGAAAGCAGCCACCUCUAAUAGAAAGCGUUAAAGCUCAAGAACAGCCACACCAAAAAUAAAAAUAACCACUCCUAAUUUCCUAAUAAUAUUAAGCUACCCUAUUUUAUAGGAGAAAUUAUGCUAAAAUGAGUAAUAAGAGAAACUAGACCCUCUCCGGGCACACGUGUAAAUUAGAGCGGACAAACCACUGACAACUAACGGACCCAAAAAAGAGGGUAAAACAACAAAACUCAAUAAACAAGAAAAACCUAUUAAAACAACCGUUAACCCAACACAGGAGUGCCACUUAAGGAAAGACUAAAAGGGGAAGAAGGAACUCGGCAAACACAAACCUCGCCUGUUUACCAAAAACACCGCCUCCUGCAAAUAGAAUGUAUUGGAGGUCCUGCCUGCCCAGUGACAAUAGGUUCAACGGCCGCGGUAUUUUGACCGUGCAAAGGUAGCGUAAUCACCUGUCUUUUAAAUAAAGACCUGUAUGAAUGGCAAGACGAGGGUUUUACUGUCUCCUCCCCCCAGUCAAUGAAAUUGAUCUACCCGUGCAGAAGCGGGUAUAAAAACAUAAGACGAGAAGACCCUAUGGAGCUUUAGGCACACAUCAAAUAUGUAAAAAACCAAAUCUUCCAAAUAGGCCUAAAAAAUGAGAAAAACAAGUAUUAAUGAUUAAUUGCCUUCGGUUGGGGCGACCACGGGGAAAAAUAAAACCCCCACAUGGAAUGGGUAAAAUUAUCCUAAGCCAAGAAAAACAAUUCUAAGCAACAAAAUUUUUGACCAAUAAACGACCCAGGGACAACAUCCCUGAGCAAUGAACCAAGUUACCCUAGGGAUAACAGCGCAAUCCUUUCCCAGAGCCCAUAUCAACGAAAGGGUUUACGACCUCGAUGUUGGAUCAGGGCAUCCUAACGGUGCAGCCGCUGUUAAGGGUUC
rnacentral:rRNA from 1 species